UAACACCCUGGGAACAGAUGCUAAUACCGGGAUAACAACAGAUGAUGCCCUAUCAACUGUUUUAAAAAGAUGGUUCUGCUAUCACUCUUGGAUGGACCUGCGGUGCAUUAGCUAGUUGGUAGGGUAACGGCCUACCAAGGCGAUGAUGCAUAGCCGAGUUAAGAGACUGAUCGGCCACAUUGGGACUGAGACACGGCCCCAAACUCCUACGGGAGGCAGCAGUAGGGAAUCUUCCACAAUGGACGCAAGUCUGAUGGAGCAACGCCGCGUGAGUGAAGAAGGGUUUCGGCUCGUAAAGCUCUGUCGUUGGUGAAGAAGGACAGGGGUAGCAACUAACCUUUGUUUGACGGUAAUCAAUUAGAAAGUCACGGCUAACUACGUGCCAGCAGCCGCGGUAAU
rnacentral:rRNA from 1 species